rnacentral:rRNA from 1 species
AGUGAACGCUGGCGGUAUGCCUAACACAUGCAAGUCGAACGGCAGCACAGUAAGAGCUUGCUCUUACUGUUGGCGAGUGGCGGACGAGUGAGGAAUACAUCGGAAUCUACUUUUUCUUGGGUGAUAACGUAGGGAAACUUACGCUAAUACCGCAUACUACCUACGGGUGAAAGCAGGGGAGCUUCGGACCUUGCGCGUUUCAAUUAGCCGACGCCGCAUUAGCUAGUUGGCGUGGUAAGGGCCCACCAAGGCGACGAUGCGUAGCCGGUCUGAGAGGGUGAUCGGCCACACUGGAACUGAGACACGGUCCAGACUCCUACGGGAGGCAGCAGUGGGGAAUCUUCGGCAAUGGGCGAAAGCCUGAUGGAGCAACACCGCGUGGGUGAUGAAGGCCUUCGGGUCGUAAAGCCCUUUUGUUGGGGAAGAAAAGAAGCAGGUUAAUAUCCGGCCGUUCUGACGGUACCCAAAGAGUAAGCACCGGCUAACUUCGUG